rnacentral:Y_RNA from 1 species
GGCUGGUCUGAGCGCACGGUGUUUACAAAUAAUUGAUCACAACCAGUUACAGAUUCCUUUGUUCUUCCUCCACUCCCACUGCUUCACUUGACUAGUCUAAA